GGAUUAUCGUCGUGCAUUGUCGCGUGAAAUGCACUGGUGACCUAGCAACGUUGUCCGCAUAACAAUGAAGUCAGUAUCCCGCUUCACGAUUUCGAAUUCAUUUUCUCUUGAAUAUUUGCCUUCCUAUACAAGAACCUGCUUCUCUGUUAAAUUGCGAGGAAACGCACAGGUGUUGGUAUUUGAAACUGAAUCACAUCGACCUGAAAAAUAUUUACCAGUUGAUUUAACAGGUAACGAGAUAGCUGAGGAUAAGGGGAACGGAAAAUGAUAAAGCGGUGGAGAGAAGAAGGAUGCAGAUGUUUCACUGAUGAUGAGUUACCAGAGCCGAGACGGAAGUUGUCAGGCCGGAUGCCGAUAGUAAGACUGCUUCGGUACCUCGUAAAAACUUUGGACGAUAAACUUAUUGCUUUCUUUAAAGAGUCACUUUGUCAUACACAUGUCAAAUUGUAUAUAUUUACGUUACAGCAUCAACUUACAUUAUAUUAGAAAUUUUUUUAUUAAUUUUAUACUUUUUAUUAUAUUCUAAUUUUGAAAUUUAUAUCGUACAAAUAUCUAUAUUUAUUAUCAAUGUUGUAAUGAAACAUUAGAAAAUGAUAAAUUUAAUAAAAAUAGUAUUAUGUUGAUUAUUA